AUUGAACGCUGGCGGCAGGCUUAACACAUGCAAGUCGAGCGGUAGCACAGGGGAGCUUGCUCCCUGGGUGACGAGCGGCGGACGGGUGAGUAAUGUCUGUGAAACUGCCUGAUGGAGGGGGAUAACUACUGGAAACGGUAGCUAAUACCGCAUAACGUCACAAGACCAAAGAGGGGGACCUUCGGGCCUCUUGCCCUCAGAUGUGCCCAGAUGGGAUUAGCGAGUAGGUGGGGUAAUGGCUCACCUAGGCGACGAUCCCUAGCUGGUCUGAGAGGAUGACCAGCCACACUGGAACUGAGACACGGUCCAGACUCCUACGGGAGGCAGCAGUGGGGAAUAUUGCACAAUGGGCGCAAGCCUGAUGCAGCCAUGCCGCGUGUGUGAAGAAGGCCUUCGGGUUGUAAAGCACUUUCAGCGAGGAGGAAGGUGGUGAGCUUAAUACGUUCAUCAAUUGACGUUACUCGCAGAAGAAGCACCGGCUAACUCCGUG
rnacentral:rRNA from 1 species